GCCUAACACAUGCAAGUCGAGCGGUAGAGAGAAGCUUGCUUCUCUUGAGAGCGGCGGACGGGUGAGUAAUGCCUAGGAAUCUGCCUGGUAGUGGGGGAUAACGCUCGGAAACGGACGCUAAUACCGCAUACGUCCUACGGGAGAAAGCAGGGGACCUUCGGGCCUUGCGCUAUCAGAUGAGCCUAGGUCGGAUUAGCUAGUUGGUGAGGUAAUGGCUCACCAAGGCGACGAUCCGUAACUGGUCUGAGAGGAUGAUCAGUCACACUGGAACUGAGACACGGUCCAGACUCCUACGGGAGGCAGCAGUGGGGAAUAUUGGACAAUGGGCGAAAGCCUGAUCCAGCCAUGCCGCGUGUGUGAAGAAGGUCUUCGGAUUGUAAAGCACUUUAAGUUGGGAGGAAGGGCAGUAACCUAAUACGUUAUUGUUUUGACGUUACCGACAGAAUAAGCACCGGCUAACUCUGUGCCAGCAGCCGCGGUAAUACAGAGGGUGCAAGCGUUAAUCGGAAUUACUGGGCGUAAAGCGCGCGUAGGUGGUUUGUUAAGUUGAAUGUGAAAUCCCCGGGCUCAACCUGGGAACUGCAUCCAAAACUGGCAAGCUAGAGUAGGGCAGAGGGUGGUGGAAUUUCCUGUGUAGCGGUGAAAUGCGUAGAUAUAGGAAGGAACACCAGUGGCGAAGGCGACCACCUGGGCUCAUACUGACACUGAGGUGCGAAAGCGUGGGGAGCAAACAGGAUUAGAUACCCUGGUAGUCCACGCCGUAAACGAUGUCAACUAGCCGUUGGAAUCCUUGAGAUUUUAGUGGCGCAGCUAACGCAUUAAGUUGACCGCCUGGGGAGUACGGCCGCAAGGUUAAAACUCAAG
rnacentral:rRNA from 1 species